rnacentral:rRNA from 1 species
ACGGAGGGUGCAAGCGUUACUCGGAAUCACUGGGCGUAAAGAGCGCGUAGGCGGGAAAGUAAGUCAGAUGUGAAAUCCUAUGGCUUAACCAUAGAACUGCAUUUGAAACUGCUUUUCUAGAGUAUGGGAGAGGUAGGUGGAAUUCUUGGUGUAGGGGUAAAAUCCGUAGAGAUCAAGAGGAAUACUCAUUGCGAAGGCGACCUGCUGGAACAUUACUGACGCUGAUGCGCGAAAGCGUGGGGAGCAAA